GGCUGGUCCGAAGGUAGUGAGUUAUCUCAGUUGAUUGUUCACAGUCAGUUACAGAUUUAACUCCUUGUUCUACUCUUUCCCCCUUUCUCACUACUGCACUUGACUAGUCUUUA
ensembl:Y_RNA Y_RNA Y RNA